rnacentral:misc_RNA from 1 species
GAUGAAGAACGUAGCGAAAUGCGAUACGUAAUGUGAAUUGCAGAAUUCAGUGAAUCAUCGAGUCUUUGAACGCACAUUGCGCCCCCUGGUAUUCCGGGGGGCAUGCCUGUCCGAGCGUCAUUGCUGCCCUCAAGCACGGCUUGUGUGUUGGGCCUCCGUCCUCCUCCCGGGGGACGGGCCCGAAAGGCAGCGGCGGCACCGCGUCCGGUCCUCGAGCGUAUGGGGCAUCGUCACCCGCUCUUGUAGGCCCGGCCGGCGCUUGCCGACACAUCAAUCUUUUUUCCAGGUUGACCUUGGAUCAGGUAGGGAUACCCGCUGAACUUAAGCAUAUCAAUAAGCGGAGGA